UUAUCAUCUCUCCUUCCUCUCUUUGUACGCCUCUUUGUUCCUCUGCGUCCUUCAUUUACGAUUUCGUUUACGUGGUUGGAUAAUACUGGACUUGUAUAUUGAAUAAAAAUGGCAGCAUGCAUGGACACACAAAAAUGGAAAAGGUACGUUUUGUUAUUCCAGAUCAUCUUUUCCGUAUUGAACUCGGGAUUUGCUGUUACUCACUACUCUAUUCCCGAGGAAAUGGAGGUAGGAUCUGUUGUUGCAAAUUUAGCCGCCGAUCUUCAUUUGGAUGUACAGAGUCUGACCAAACGCAAGAUGCGCUUAGAUGUGAUAGCAAAUAAAAAAUAUCUGGAUAUAAAUAAAGAAACAGGGGAGCUGUUUAUCGUCGAAAGAAUAGACCGAGAAUAUCUCUGCCCAUCCAAAACAAAUUCUUGUUUUCUGAAGCUGGAUGCUACAAUCGAAAACCCAGUUAGAAUGUUUAAUAUUGAAUUAGAAAUAUUAGAUAUCAACGACAAUGAACCCCACUUUCGACGAGAUGUCAUGCAUUUAGACAUUUCAGAAUCGACACCAGCCGGAGAGCGUUUCUCCCUCAACAAUGCAGUGGACGCCGACAUUGGGUCUAAUUCAAUUAAGACUUACUAUCUUAGUGAGAGCGAGCAUUUUACUAUAGAAAUACAGUCUGGUCGAGAUGGAUCUAAACUUGCUGAUUUGGUGCUGAAAAAGGCAUUAGAUCGCGAAGAGAAAGCAGUUCAUAAUCUGAUCCUCACUGCUGUGGAUGGAGGAGUCCCCGCGCGCUCCGGCACCGCUAACAUUAUUGUGCGCGUUCUGGACACUAAUGACAACGCCCCUCAGUUCGAUAAAGACAGUUAUACUGUGCAUUUAAGUGAAAAUUUGCCAAUAGAAAGUCUUGUUGUUAAGCUCAACGCAACAGAUUUAGAUGAAGGGCAAAAUUCUGAAAUAAUAUACACAUUUAGUUUAUAUACAUCUGAGAAAACACAAGAUACGUUUAAAUUGAAUUCAGAAACGGGUGAAAUUCGAGUUAAAGAGAUUAUUAAUUAUGAAGAUUUCAAAAUCUAUGAUAUGGAGAUAAUAGCAACAGAUAAAGCAGCUAAUAGUCUCUCUGGGAAGUGUAAAGUAAAGAUAUUAAUUACAGAUAUGAAUGAUAAUCAUCCUGAAAUUUCUAUAAAGUCAUUCACAAGUCCAGUUAAAGAAGAUGUACCUGUAAAUACAGUAAUUGCAGUUGUUAGUGUGAGUGAUAAAGACUCUGGCGAAAAUGGACAGGUAGAUAUUCAUUUUUCUGAUGAUUUACCUUUUGCGCUUAAAGAAUCAUCUGAUAAUUAUUAUGAAUUAUUAAUUUCAGAACCGUUAGACCGUGAAAAGGUUGCAGAAUAUGACAUCACUAUUACCGUCACUGACAGGGGCAACCCGCCGUUAUCUGAUAAUGAAACUAUAACUUUAGAGCUACUGGACGUUAAUGACAAUGUUCCUCAGUUCCCGCAGACAUUCUACACGAUCCCUGUUAUGGAGAAUAACGCGCCUGGAGCUUCACUGAGCUCUUUAACUGCGAUAGACCCAGAUCUCCAUGAAAACCAGUAUCUAGUGUAUUUUAUAAUAGAGAAGGAAAUAGUGAACACCUCCAUGUCCAUGCUGUUCUCCAUUAACCCAGAGAACGGCAAUCUUUACGCGCUAAAGACCUUUGACUAUGAGAUGGAGAAGGAGUUUCUUUUCCACAUCGAGGCCAGAGACUCUGGUGUUCCUCCGCUCAGCAGUAACGUGACCGUUCACAUUAUUAUCAUGGACCAGAACGACAACACACCGCUUAUAGUGUCUCCAUGGCGCGCGCACGGCUCGGAAGUGAAGGAAAGGAUCCCGAGAUCCACAGAUAAAGGAACUCUGAUAGCCAAAGUCAUCGCCAUAGACUCUGACUCAGUGCACAACUCUCGGAUCACGUACCAGUUCCUCCAGAACACCGACGCCACGUUAUUCAGCUUGGAUCAAUACAACGGAGAGAUCCGGACCAUGAGAAUGUUCAGUUACAGAGACUCGCGAGACCAGCGGCUGGUGGUGAUCGCCAAAGACAACGGAGAGCCCGCGCUCUCUGCUACAGUCACCAUCAAACUGUCCACGGUGGAGACCGCCCUCAAAACCUAUACUGAGGUGCCUUUGGAGUAUGACAUCUUCUCAGAUCUAAACCUGUAUCUGGUGAUCGGCCUGGGCUCGGUCUCGUUUCUUUUACUCAUCACUAUACUGGUGACCAUCGUGCUGAAGUGUCAGAAAGCGAAGCCCAGCAAAGCGGCUCCUCCGUGCAGGAACAGUGUGAUCAGCGAGAGGAACUCGACCAUCGCGGACUCCACUCUGGUCUCCAACGAUGCCUACUGGUACAGUUUAUUUCUAGCAGAGACGAGGAAAGGAAAGCUGGUGGUCAGACAGCCUGCGCCAAAGGGAGCGAGAUACAUCGUGUCCAGUUUACCGAGGAGCACAGGAGUGACCGAGACCAGCGACUCAGCCGCUUCUACUCUACAGGUAAGACAAUACACUUGAAUGAUCAAAGAGAGAUUUACAUGACGUUUCACGAUCAAUUUUCUCUCAGUUUUUUUUAGAGAAGAGGUGGUGUGUGAUCCCCUGUACAGUAUUAUUCUUAUAGGCUAUUUUUCUCUCUCGUAUUUUAAUUCAUUUAAUUUCUUCUCAUUUAUUUUUUUUUACAAAUUUUGUUUUGUAUUUUUAUGUGCUAUUUUGAGGCUUAUGAUCACACAUUUUCGCGGGAAUCUAAAACAGAAAAAUCAUAAUAAAAUAGAAAUAACGCGCAAAAUAAAAGAAUGCUUCAUGUAAAAAAGCUAUUCUCUUCUUGCUGUGUAUGUUCAACCCAAACUCACUGAGCGUCGCUGUUCUCUAAGAAAACGCUUUUGGUCAUAUUUUUCACAAUCGCCAUGACAGAUUUCCCACACAAAGGAGCGCGCCAUGACAAGAGCUUCGUAGUCUGCCCUGUUCGUUUCCCGAUCAUUUCAUUAUCACGAGGAAUACAAAUAUUUCAAACGCUGCAUAAUGGAGGGAUUAGUAAAGUCACAGUUGUGGAGUACUCAAAAUGAACGAGGUCCCUUCUCCCGCUGGAGGCAUCCACCACCACCAGCAGCAGUUCCACCUGAGGGCCUCAUUGCUGUGUGAAAAAUCGUUCCAUCAACCUGCAUGUCUGUUCAUCCAUUACAUCCACCUGCACCAUCCAACAGAGAUGAAACCAACCCUCUUCACAUCAAUGUUCUGAGAGCUUUGCCCUCGCUUUUCCCAACAAGCCCAUGGACGAUCUGACCAGAGGAUUGACAAAGACGAGAUACUCUUACAGGACUGGACUUGGACUGGGUCUGUGAACACACACACAAACACACAAACAGCACAGAUCAUGUCUUUGUCAAAGAAACUUUUCUGCAAAACUUGUAUGCUUGUGUUUGCAUGGUUAAAGCUCCAUGUUAGAUCUUCAUUAUAUAUAUAGUGACUGGUAAACACAUUGGAGAGAGAAAUUAUGAACAAAAUAUUCUCAGAUGACCAGUGAAUUGCACAAAAAAAAUCCCAUUUGUAAUCUGUAGCUUUGCAUUUUUUUUUCUAGUAGAAAUAUCUAAACACCCUUGAAAUAAGAUUAAGAUGCCUAAAAGCAAGUGUUUACAAAAAACCCCUGAAAAUUACAGUACAAAAUAUUUAUAUUGGACAUACAUUGUCUGUUAAUCUCAUGCAGUUUGCUUCUCGUGUGAAUAUACCUGGUUUCGUGCAAGUUUAGAUAUUUUUACUGAAAAAAAAAGAUGGGAUUUGUUUUGCAAUGUGUGUGUGAACAAGCACAAAGAGGAUUCACGUGAUGCAGACCUGUGGAGAGAUGGCGUGCUAGAAAGCUUCUCUUUCCCUGUAACAUAUGUAUAAAGCAUUUAUUAUGUGUUUUCUUGGAUCUCAUUUAGACUUCUAUCAGAAUAAUACAAGUGUAUUCAGAAUAGGUCACAGCAAAUUGGAUUUGUUGUCCCUAUUAUUCUAUUCUCUUCAUUGUAGUGUUGCUGUUUGUGUCAGUAUUUUGAGUUUCAGUUUAUAAAGAAUCGAGUUGAAUCGAAGCACUGAUCGGACACAGAAAGUGUGAGAAGAACGCUUACCGUUGUUAUGAUCUCUCCUGAAUAUGAUAUUAUUUUUUAUGAGUGUAGUCACAAUGAUUGCUUCCUCUGUGGUGAAGGAUCUAUAUGUGUGUGUAUCUUCAAUUCAUUUAGUUUUUUUAUUAUCAUUUAUGAUCAAUAACAAAUGGUAUAAACAAUCAAAUGACACAUUAAAUGAAUGGCUGAAAUACAUAAUUUGCCAUUUAUAACCAUUAUCCAUUUAAAUAUUAAUACCAUUUAUCAUUGCAAUUUGCAAUCAUUUUCCUUGCUCUUGCAAUGCUUUCUAUUAGGUUUUAAUCCUAUGAUAGAGGGGUUUCAUGGAAUAUUUGUCUUCACGAAUAACCAAUAAGAGGGAUUAUUGCAAUUUCUUGGUUUUAUGGGAUGUUGUUGUCAGGAAGAAGUUUGGUAUAGAAAAACCUGUUUAAUUUUAAUUAAUUCAAUAAACCCUGUUGAUUUCUGCUAAUUCAUGGCCUUCUCUGUCAACCUCUAAGGCUGAUAGAAGUCUUGGGUACCAGACGAAAUACUGAUUUUGCAUACUAGACAAAAAGAGACUGGAUCCAGUUGUCCUGGUGUGGGGAUCUGAUGUAAUCUGGUGUCUGGUGACAUUCUUAAAUGCACAAACGCAGACACAGCACAGUGAUGUCAUAGUGCAGAGGCAUUUGAAGGACACACUCGUUUCUAAAGUGAUGAGGAGAGUCGUCUGAUGCCCAAGAUCUUACAUCAGUUGUUUAUCAGUGAGUUACUCCUUUUUUUCAUGUAUAAAACACACAAUUUAAUAGAUGGAGACAUGUUACAUCAGCCUUUCCGAAUCUUUCAAAAAAGGCCUCAAGCUGGUGGAUGACUUGCUUGCUUAUAAACAAUGACAAUGUUUACUUUGCUUAUUUUUAGGCUUUAUUAUCUAACAUUAUGGAAUGUGUUUGUUUAAUACUCAUGGAAAAGCUUUGAAAAAAGAGUACAUACAGAAAAUACAUUGUAGAAGUUUCAUUUAUUAAUUUUGUAAUUUUUUUAUUUUGUGUUUUAAUAUAAACUUUCAUAUUGCUGCUUUUUAUUGUUGAUAUUUUCUAUUUGCUAUCUAUGGUGCAAUAUAUGGACAUACGCAUUUUAUUUCAGUGAACAAUAUGGUCUUUUUGUUGCCUUUCUGAAAUGUCAUGUACGAUAAUAUCAUGGUAUAAUCAUAACCUUCGGAGGGUCUGGCAGCUUCUCCAGGCAGGUCAAGAGGUCAGGGUGUCUUGGGGUGUAUUCAGUGACUGGCUUAAUUAGAUGUGCUAAUUCUCAGACAUGAGCGGUGCUGUAGAGUAACAUCACGUUUGUAUUAAAGAAAGGUGUUUUAUGAAAUAUAAAAGUGUUUUUAUGUAAUUUCAUGUCUGUCAGUGUGAGCAUCUAUAAGUAGGUCACUUAUCUCUCACUACCCAGGAAAGUGACUACAAUUCAUUUACCCAAUAGCCUCAUUUUGUUAUAUAAAAAUGGGCUGUCUGUAUAAAGCACAUGAUAGCCCCUUCAUCUCUUUUUCAUCCUUAUCAAAAUGUGCAUUUUCUACAAGCAUUUAUGCUCUAAAGCCAACCCGAAAGCUGAUUGCAUCCGUGAUUUGCCUUGGAGAAACUCACAAGACCCUCUUCGCUCAAAAGUAUCUCCUGAUAUAUUGUACAAAAAACAUGGGAAAUAGUGUGUUAUUUCUGUCAUUCACAUUGUAAAUCCGAACCGUGAUGGGACUUUGCAUUUGUAAUGUUUUUAGGUUUGAAAUGACUUCUAAAACUAGCCAAAUUCAGAUGCACUGGAGAAUAAAAAUCAAAACACAUUGUUUUUACAGUGCCAUUAUGAUUGUCUUUUAAAUGGGGAAGAGAAAGAUAGACCAUGUAUGUGAUUAUGAUCAAUAAAAUCAAAGUGACUUUUGUGAAUUAUU